GACAGAGGGUGCAAACGUUGUUCGGAAUUACUGGGCGUAAAGCGCGUGUAGGCGGCUCUGCAAGUCGGGCGUGAAAUCCCAUGGCUCAACCAUGGAAGUGCACUCGAAACUGCAGAGCUAGAGUCCUGGAGAGGAAGGUGGAAUGCUUGGUGUAGAGGUGAAAUUUGUAGAUAUCAAGCGGAACACCGGUGGCGAAGGCGGCCUUCUGGACAGUGACUGACGCUGAGACGCGAAAGCGUGGGGAGCAAACAGG
rnacentral:rRNA from 1 species